UAUUUUAAUUGUGGGAAAGCCGCCGCGGUAAUACGUAGGUGGCGAGCGUUGUCCGGAAUUACUGGGUGUAAAGGGAGUGUAGGCGGGAAGGCAAGUCAGAAGUGAAAAUUAUGGGCUUAACCCAUAACCUGCUUUUGAAACUGUUUUUCUUGAGUGAGGCAGAGGCAAGCGGAAUUCCUAGUGUAGCGGUGAAAUGCGUAGAUAUUAGGAGGAACACCAGUGGCGAAGGCGGCUUGCUGGGCCUUUACUGACGCUGAGGCUCGAAAGCGUGGGGAGCAAACAGG
rnacentral:rRNA from 1 species